CCUACGGGAGGCAGCAGUCGAGAAUCAUUCACAAUGGGGGAAACCCUGAUGGUGCGACGCCGCGUGGGGGAAUGAAGGUCUUCGGAUUGUAAACCCCUGCCAUGUGGGAGCAAAUUAAAAAGAUAGUACCACAAGAGGAAGAGACGGCUAACUCUGUGCCAGCAGCCGCGGUAAUACAGAGGUCUCAAGCGUUGUUCGGAAUCACUGGGCGUAAGGCGUGCGUAGGCUGUUUCGUAAGUCGUGUGUGAAAGGCGCGGGCUCAACCCGCGGACGGCACAUGUUACUGCGAGACUAGAGUAAUGGAGGGGGAACCGGAAUUCUCGGUGUAGCAGUGAAAUGCGUAGAUAUCGAGAGGAACACUCGUGGCGAAGGCGGGUUCCUGGACAUUAACUGACGCUGAGGCACGAAGGCCAGGGGAGCGAAAGGGAUUAGAUACCCUAGUAGUC
rnacentral:rRNA from 1 species